AUACAAAGGCUUGGCUUAUACUGCAAAGUUUGGGAUCCACAGUCUACAAAACCCCACAGCUCCUGAGAAUUCUCUCGCCUGCUUUCGACCCUUAGGCUCUGGUAGAUUGCAAAUAACCUGCUUUCUUUCUGUUCCCGGGCGGCGUGGGACCCCUGUCGGAUAGUCAAUCCCAAUUAAGGUACCCGCCGUCGGCAGAUUUGAGCUUUCUUCUUGGACACCUAAUACCCACAGUCCUCCAGGCUCUGGUAGAUUGCAAAUGACCUGCUUACUUUCUGUUCCCGGGCUGCGUUCUGACACCUGUUGGACAGUAAAUCCCAAGUAAGGAUAACUUCAGGAAGUGGGUAUUAAUUCUCACUGUAUAAGUGAAGACAUUAAGCACCAGAGUUUAAGUAGCUUGGUAAGUGUUAUUCCAGUAAUUAAAUAGGCAUAAAUAGAGUUCAACUUUCUCAGUUCUAUCUAUAAUUUCUCUCUAUGUAUGGGCUUAUUUAUAUCAACCAGUAUACACCUUGGUUUUGG
rnacentral:lncRNA from 10 species